UGUAAACAAUUCCUAGGCAAUG
rnacentral:miRNA from 1 species